GAUGCCAGGGGCAAAAGCCUGAAACCACGAUGUGCUUGCACAUGAGUGGUUUUAUGGCUUAAUGCCCCGCCCCCAAAUAUGAGCAUAAAAGCGAAGCGUAAGCUUCACGAUAUGCGAAUAUAGGGGCGGAUUGUGAGAGUGCAAAGCACAUAACAAUCCGUAUG
rnacentral:sRNA from 1 species